UCGCGACUUGCGCUACAUCUGCAUCUGCAUGAACAUCUGUAUUGAUAAUUGCGGAUGCGGAUGUGAAUGUCACUAUCGAUGCGGAAGCUCCGCAAUUGCGGAUGCGAAUAUCCGCAACAUCACUAAUCUGUACUUACACAAAGAUUCCCAGACAAAAAACAAUAACAUAUUGAUCAUAGUUAUAACGCAGAGCAUUUUUCUCUCAAUUUCAUCAUUUAUAUGCACAUGUUUUAUGGGCUUGUUAAGUUAGUUUUAAUUAAUGAAUCAGGCCCAAACAUGGAUCUCUCCAGAAAAAUGAAAUAUGGGUUUUGAAAUUGAAUCAGGCUUCUCUACACACUAUAAAUGAUUGCUUUACGGCAUUAACUAUAUAGUUAUUCUUUAAUGCAGGGAUCGGCAACGCACAGCCCAUUGCAUAUUUUUCUGCGGCCCACCAGGCAAUAUAACUUUUAUAUGGCAAAGUAAAAAUUAGGAAGGCU
rnacentral:lncRNA from 1 species